GCAGAUCUGUCUUAACGUAGAGCUUGGAGUCGACAUCUCGGGAAGGUCAAAGAGGGGUAGAGUUACUCCCCUUCUCCGAACCGGCUUUUCCAGCUACAGGAGUUCGUGCUUGAAUUUACUAAUGAGGUGUGCCAAGCCGUGAGGAGUCAGGGAAUGACCAAAUAAUAAUGAGUUAGCAAAGACAUCAGACUUUAUCUCCUAGACCCUCUAAAACAUUCCUAGGAGAUCCCCAAGUUUAAGUCCAUGUGAAUUUACAUAUUAGUAAUUAUUUGUCUGACGGUGGCAAAGAGGACCGGGCAUGAGAGAGAGAGGAAUGAGAGGGAACAGUAAUUUCCCCGCCACAGGAAGUUUGGUGUGUCCGUGGUUCCCAACGCUCAACCCCAGCAGUACAGAAGAUGAUGCAAGAAGAGAGCGAUGCACUGUAGCUGCAAAGUGGAAACAAGGUAGCCGGAAAGUGGAAACAACCCGAUAGCCAUCAUAAAGACAGUGGAUAAAACAAAUUGGGGUGCAUCUAUACAAUGGGAUAGUAAUAAGCUGUUGAUAAGCACAUGAAUGAAUCUCAGAAACAUCAUGCUGAGUGAAAGAAGCCAAACACUAGCAUGGAUAUAUGUACCUAGUACAAUUCCCUUCAUAUGAAACUCUAGAGAAAGCAAAACUGAUCUCUACACUCAGCAGAUUAGUGGGUGUCUACUACUGUAGGUGAAGACUGACAGGGAAAGGGCAUGAGGGACGCUCUGGGGUGAUGGAAAUGUGGCUGUGGGUAUACCUUUGUCAGAACUCAUUGAAAUGUACACUUAAAAUGUAUGCUAUCUAUCUGUAAAUUACACCUCAAUGAAGUUGAUUUUAAAUCUA